rnacentral:misc_RNA from 1 species
UUGGGGCCAUCGCAGCGUCC